GGAUCUCUCUCAGGAGAUCCUUCCUCUUGGAGCCCUUCUGCAAGCCCAGGACACAGGUAAGAUCUUUAUUUCAUUUCUCCUUUGUAACACGAUAAUCUCCCUGGUCCAACACCUGUAUACCUGUUUGCUAUACAGUAUGUAAUAUGCAUUUUUUAUUAUUAUAUAUAAUUUACAAAUUCCUACAUAUACUUUUUGGUAAAUUGAAAUUCAUCUUGAACAUAAAUUUACUCAAGAUUAUAAACAUACCACUUUGGAUUGCAAAGCCAGAGCUAAGUAGUGAAACAAGUGGAACACUAUAGCAAUUAUUGCUAUAUAUUUUCAUAUAGCUGAAGAAUUAUUUUCGCAGCUAAUAACUCUCUAAAAGUAUCUUUUAAUGUCUCUAAAUGAAUACUUUUUAAAAACCACGUUAACUAUUUCAUGAUGUUUCUUUAGUUUUCCCAACUGCAUUGCUCAGUGGAUGCCAUAAUUCAAACACAUAGAAAAAUUAGAAAGCAAUUGAUUUAAUUUUUUACCACUUGUGUUAAAAUUGUAACCUUAAUUGACAAAACAAUUGAUAAAACUAGAGAUUUGAAGAGAAAAAUGUGAAAUGUUUGUUAGUUUUGGCAUAGAAUGAGGUAUUAGAACCGCUGCGCUAAGAACACUGAAUUCCAUCAAACAAACUGAUUGUUGUUACACGCUCAAGUGAAGAAACUGUGGUUGUUUAGUCUCGAUGGGAGACUAUUACAGGGAAGACAACAUGAUAGUAGCUUUUAAAUAUAUAAAAUGCAGCUGUAAAGAAGUCUGGGGUGGAUAAGUGGAGGAAAAAGCUGGAUCUGAGAAAUGCACUUCAGGCAGCAAAAUGUUGAGAGAAAUAGCUUCAGAAGAGCACAGGGUAUCCACCACCAGAUAGUUUUAAGAAUAAACAUCCGCUGGGCAAGACAGAGCAGAGGUCAAUGCAGUCCUGGGAUAACGAGAUGUGGCUUUCAGUGGUUUCAGAUGUGUGGAUCCCUACACAAGCUCUAGAAGAGAUGCAGAUCCAUCGAUGCCCCAUGGGUCCAGGCUGCUGUACAAAAAUUUUGACCUCUCUGUGCUGAAUGAUUGUUGCCAGCCCAUUGGAUCUCAGCCUUGUUCCCAUGACCAGGAUGCUUCCCACACCGUUCCCACCUCCUCCUUCAGCUGUCACAGCCUCAUCACUCCAUACACAGACAUGGCUGUGCCAUCCCUGGUGGCAGCCGGCUUUGCAACAGUCAGCAUGGGAAAUCAUCCUCUUCUAAUGGCAAGACAGAAGGAUGGAUGCUUGCCAAACUCAGAGCCAGCAGUAGACCCUUAUAUGAUGUGAAAGUCACCCCAAAUACCCCUCAGUGUCCUCUGACUACUUGCAGAAUGCCCACUAGUGACCACCAAGUCCAAAAUGAGUUAUGGCCACUUCAUGUAUCUCCUUCCAGUUACAUGUUCUGGAGGAUGCUGUCUCCUCACCUCUCCUAGCUUGACACCAUCAUAACUCAGCAACCUGGCGUUACACAACUCCCAGUUGCAGGGUCCAUCCGAAAAAUGAAGAAAACCUGUCUUUAAAACUCAUCUUCUGAUCUACUAAACUCAUCUACUGGUCUUUAGUAAAGCAAACGGCUUCAGCCUGAGAAUGCCGAUGUGAAGCAUUCUGAUAUUUAAGGAAGAAAAGAAGGAUGCCUAUUGUUUUGCCUUGUCGUUGACUGACUCCAGCCCAGAACUGGGAGUUAUUUUGGUUGCCAUCCUUUUCCCAGGAGAUUUCAUUUUUUUUUUUUUAACUCAUGUAACACUCUCUAAUUCAGUUUGAAGUAGAAAUGACCAGACUCAGUAAGGCUCACGAGAACAUGGCGGAGCUGCCAGUUUGCACAAAUACCAGACAAAACAGUUCCAUUUUCCACCCCCCUCCCCUUUGCAUUUUGGGUUUCCUUUGAAAUUGUACCUAGACUUCAGAGGAAGCAUGGGGUCCUCAGGACCAGCUGCUCCUCAAACACACACAACAAAACCAUCCAGGCCCACAUGCUCUGCCAUGUAACCUGCACACCACAAAAAUUCAGAUGCCAUCUUCAGUCCUGCAAAAUAUUAAGCCAGGCAUUUAAGAUUCACCCAAUGAUUAAGCAUGAGCAGCUUGUAAUCGUUUCCAGAUUCCUCUCCUAGCAGGAGGAAAGGCUCCGCAAUUCCUGUCUGCGUGCUCAGUGUAGCAAUGUGCUCCCAAACAGACUGAAGAUGGGUUGAAGAGGACAAAACUGAUACCCCGAGCUUUGCAGCUGAGACCAAGCCAGCAUUACCUUUUAAUCCAACACGAUAACCUUGGAAAAGCAGGGUUAUUUAGCCAGCAUACAUCAGGGUACUUCCACAUCAUCUGUGUAGCAACACCUGUGCACCAGCAACUAGAAACCCCCUUACAUACACACUAAGAUUGUCUGCAUUUUUUCAUCUGGCUUGGGAGCAUUAAAUGAAGAUCAACUGUUGGAAUCGGCCUCGCUUAGGGAAGCAGACUGUCUGUGCUCACAGACAGGACCUUUCUCCUCCAGGUUUUAUAGGAAGCCCAAGACUGCAGCCUUUCUGCAGAGGCCACAGUGUAACCCAGGGAGCAUCUGGAUCCUUCCCUUCAUGCCAAUUCAGCCAUAUAUUUUUCCCCCAGACUGCUUGGCCAUGAAAAAAAAAAAGAUCUUUGAAAACCUGCUCAGGGCUUCAAAACCCUCAGCAGCCCCAGCCUGAAAGCAAACUCAGGUCUCCCCACUGCCUUUGAACACAGUGGGGAUCUGCUCCAGCAGGUUAGCUCUCAGGGCCAUGUUGCUCCCUGCAGCUAAACCAGACGACGUGAAAUGGCAAGUACCUCUUAAUUUUUAUUAUUUUUAAACAGGAUAGUUUAAGAGCUAUGGAUUUUUUUUUAUUAUUAUUAUUACUAUUUUACUGGCAAAUUUAGUGUGCUGCCUUCCCUCCUUAAUGAAGGGAACCAAGAGCUGGUGCUCAGCUCCUGCUUUCUAGAAGCAGUCCCUGCAAACCUACUGUGAAUAACCAUGUCACCUCCCCAUUCUCCAUCUCCAGAGCAAGAAAGCAGCUUUCAUCAGCUCAGACCAUUUUUUCUUUUCUUGCCUCUUUACCUUCGCCUUUCCUUCAAGUUCCAUUUAUCUCCAAGCCCAUGUCUGAGACAAGGACCUACGGCUUGCACCAUCCCUUCAUGUGCAAAAAGAGAAGGGUCCUGUUCCAGGAUGGAAACCUGGAUGCAUUCCUCAAGGAGAUCAUCUCUGAUCAAGGGUGAGGGGUUCACCACCCUCAUUCAUCACCUCCUUAGCCUGUCAGUGUGGGGAGGUGGGAAAGGAACAACAGCACCAAUGGGCAGAGACUAUCCAUUGGACUCACACAAUCAUCCAGUUUUACUGGGAUUUCUCCUCUACAGGCUGAGCUGUGUCUGCUCCCUCCAUGCACCAUCACCCACGGGAAAACCACACUGCAGGAACGAGGGCCAGGGUUUCAAAGUUGGGACAGAUUUGCCCCUCACCAUUAAUUUGCAGUCCCCCAUGGGCUGUUGCGGCAUGGAAGCCAUUAACAUUUAAAAAUACUUGCAGGAAUGGGAAGGGGGGAAAGAAUGGUAUUUGCAGAGGCCCAUUCCUCAGCACACUUUCAUGUGUGCCAAAGUUUGUUGGCAUGGCUCUGAGUUUGAUAGGGAACAUCUGGGCUGUUGCUGCCUGGAUCCUGACUGAGGGCAGCAAACAAAGGGGGUUUGUGCAGGAAUGCAUGAGGAGGGGGCAGCUCAGAGGCAAAACAAGAAGACUCAGGAGAAAGCCAAAUGCACACCCCAGCUUUUUCCAAGGAGAUACAAGCCUCCCCCUUCCAUAUUUUUCUCCCCAGAGUACGCUGCAGCUACAAUAGCAAGGCUCCAACGUGGCUCAGUACCCCACUACCUGUGAUCAGGUCAACUGCCUAAGGAGGUGCUUGGGAGCUCCAAAGAGUGGACAUGCAAAUCAGGACUGCCACCUGGAGCCAGAUUUCCACUCCUUCCACCUCUGGGCCCCCCUCAAAGCCACGCCAGAGAAGGUAGUUGAGUAGGGCACUGGGACAAGCAUCCUUCUUACUUCCUCCUGCUUUGCCUCUGCAGUUCCCCCCCUUCCUGACCUGGGCAGCCUUUGGGAAAGAUCUGCUGUCAUCCUGGAUGAUUUCAGACCUUACAGUAGAGGUUCAUUAGCAUCUUUAGCAACUUUGGAGAUCCACAUGAAGCAAAGUCAUACCUGCAGGACCUCAAUGUUGGAGGCAGUGAAGGAUGCUGAAUUUCAAUGAUACCCACAGAAGGCGAGCUGGUCCCAUGCUGUUGCUGGCUCAGCACCCGUUUGCCUGGAUUUGUCCCUGGAACAACAAAGAAGAGCCCAGCGAGGGGUCAGCAUGGUUCAUUUGCCCUUUGGCCACAGCUUGCCAACAGGAUCCAGCUGAAUAGCUGCCAGUGCAGCGGGCUGGUGGGAAAAUGCUUGUGGAGCUUCUUGUAGGCAAGGGGAGCUCAAACACUUGUUUCAUCUUGGAAAUGUGUGCCAUUUUUUUCCAAGUUGUCCAAACAUUUGGCUUCUGUAUUUCCAUCAGUGACACAUCCCAGGGUUUCUAAUUGAAAAGGUCUUUUCUCUGCAUGGUUAGGCUGCUUGUAGAAAAAAAGAAAACAGGAAGCUUGAAAUUAUCAAAGAAAAAUAUUUUCAUUGACCUAGAAAUUUCUUACCCUUCAGUUUCUUGGUUAGUACAUUUUUCAAGACUCUUCAUCUCCAUGAGAGAAAUACUGUCAUUACUAUAUCUCAAAAAUGCCAACCGAAGGAAAGAGUUAAUAAUUACCAACAUCUAUUUUUAACCUGAUACCACCAGUCACAUCUCACAGAUGGCAGCUGGACUCCCUUGAGGCUCUGCCAUUGACUUUAUCAAUGAUUUGAAGCCAGAGAGGAUUUAAGUGGGUGGGACAUUCCCCAGCUCUAUGCUAACAGAGUCAGAACAGCAGCUGUUACAGAUAGGUAGGAGCUGGGAGCAUCUCUAAAGAGUCCGUGCUCAAGAAACAUUUAGAUGUUGUUCUAAGGGACACCGUUUAGUGGGGAAUAUUGGUGAUAAGUGGACUGUUGGAUGGGAUGAUCUUUGAGAUCUUUUCCAGCCUUGAUGAUGCUAUGAUGAUGCUAUGAUUCUACAACUGCCCUGCCAGUUUCUGGUGUCACAUGCCUCCGUCAUCCAUCUACCACUGAAAAUAAACUGCUCGUUUCUUUCUCCCCCUCAGUUCCAUAACUCAAAGGAUGAGAUAGAUUUUUCUGCACGUUUCCAAGAAGUUUGCCACCAGGCAAGGACCAGGCAUGCGAAACCUUCAACCUGAGACAUGAAUGUUUGCAAAAGUUAUUAGCUUAUGAAAACAGCUCUAAUGGAAACUGUUUUACUGCCAUCAUUUUAACGCUACGAACAGAGCCUGCUGCAAUAUAUAACAUUAUCAAGUGCCUGUCAGCAUUUAAUAGAAGCCAUAAUUAACUGCUGUGGAAGAACAUAGCAAAAAGUUUAUUCUUAGGAAAACUUUUGGGAGCUGCAUAAUUCUGGCCUUAUUUCUUUCUUAUAAUCCCUCUCUACACGAGCCUUAAUAAAGUUCAUAGGACAGAGUGAAUACAGGA